GGGUGAUGAUGUAGCUGACCUAUCAUGGAGGAGCAGGGGUGAUGAUGUAGCUGACCUAUCAUGGAGGAGCAGGGAAGAUGAUGUAGCUGACCUAUCAUGGAGGAGCAGGGGUGAUGAUGUAGCUGACCUAUCAUGGAGGAGCAGAAUGAUGAUGUAGCUGACCUAUCAUGGAGAAGCAGGUUGAUGAUGUAGCUGACCUAUCAUGGAGGAGAAGGAUGAUGAUGUAGCUGACCUAUCAUGGAGGAGCAGGAUGAUGAUGUAGCUGACCUAUCAUGAAGGAGCAGGAUGAUGUAGCUGACCUAUCAUGGAGGAGCAGGGGUGAUAAUGUAGCUGACCUAUCAUGGAUGAGCAGGUGUGAUGAUGUAACUGACCUAUCAUGGAGGAGCAGGCUGAUGUAGCUGACCUAUCAUGGAGUAGCAGGGGUGAUGAUGUAGCUGACCUAUCAUGGAGGAGCAGGGGUGAUGAUGUAGCUGACCUAUCAUGGAGGAGCAGGGAUGAUGUAGCUGACCUAUCAUGGAGGAGCAGGAGUGAUGAUGUAGCUGACCUAUCAUGGAGGAGCAGGAUGAUGAUGUAGCUGACCUAUCAUGGAGGAGCAGGGUGAUGAUGUAGCUGACCUAUCAUGGAGGAGCAGGAUGAUGUAGCUGACCUAUCAUGGAGGAG
rnacentral:lncRNA from 1 species